AAAAUCUUCUCUAUAUAAAAGAUUGUUGUCCUUAUACUUUCUUUUUUGUAUUCAAUAUCCAACAAUAAGAUUAAAGUUUAUGCAUCAAAUAACAUCCAAAGUUCUUGUGGAGAGAUUUGAAGAUUAAGAUUAAAGGGGAGAUUGUCGGUUUCUUUUAACAUAUGUUUUUUUUCAGUUUCGAUUUUUAUGAUGUGUUCCAGUUUGGCCGUAUGAAAUAUCGUUGGAUAAGCCUACUAAAAAAUGAGGUGGUGCAGGUUACAUAUUACUCUACCAGUUUUCAAGAGUUGUUGGAAUUGCAGGAAGCAAAACUGGUGAACCUCACAAAGGUAGAAGAGCGUAUGAACUUGCAAUCAGUUCGUCUUGCUUGACUUAAAAGGGUUAAAGUGCUUGCUUGCUCGACUUAUUAACGUGUUGUAAUGAUUUAUUAGUUGGAUAGUUUAGUUCAAAUAUGAAAUUGUGGGACAUAAAAGAUUGUA